rnacentral:rRNA from 1 species
UACGAAGGGGGCUAGCGUUGCUCGGAAUCACUGGGCGUAAAGGGUGCGUAGGCGGGUCUUUAAGUCAGGGGUGAAAUCCUGGAGCUCAACUCCAGAACUGCCUUUGAUACUGAGGAUCUUGAGUUCGGGAGAGGUGAGUGGAACUGCGAGUGUAGAGGUGAAAUUCGUAGAUAUUCGCAAGAACACCAGUGGCGAAGGCGGCUCACUGGCCCGAUACUGACGCUGAGGCACGAAAGCAUGGGUAGCAAACAGG